AAGAACAAAGUUUUGUCCAUCUUUGUUCAUCAUAGCCUAAAGUUAGAGAAGAGAAAGGAGAGGAGAAAGCUCUUGAAUGUUCGGUCACUUGGGGAAGAAAAUUGAAGGUAAGUUCAUGGUAGUUUGCUUUUAUUUUGAGGUUCAUGAGUUCUUCUUGAUUCUACCUUAACUCUUGAAGCAUAUUUUGGUUUUUGGUUGUGUUGUGAGCAUUUGGUCAUGAAUUAAAAUGAAGGAAAUGGUUGUUGUUUCAUGUUCUUUUGAUGAAAAAUGGAAGAUAGGUGAAGUUGAGCCAAACAAAUGAACAUGCAUGUGCCUUAGAUGCUAAAGGGAAAAAUCGGCUAACAUGUUGUGCUUUAAAAUGAUGAAAUGGAGAUUAUACUUAAGUAAAAUCAUAGAUAUGUGAUGAUUGAUUGGUGAUAUACAUGUUUAAAUAACAUGCAUGCAAGUUAUGUGUGAAAGAGUGAAUUUGGUAAUAAAUCUACUUGGGACAGCAGCAGUAACGUGACUUUGGAAAAUCACCAUAAAUUGUGGGAGAUGAAUUAGAAGCUGAAUAAAUUAUGUAAUUAAAUAUUAAUAAGUCUAGUUUCAAAUGGAAUAAACGAGAACAUAUUUUGAAUUCUGUACAAUGAGAAAUUUAAUUCGUAAUGAAGAGUGGUCAGAUUAGUCAAACAGUGAAACAUGGGAAACUUUAAGAAAAUCUGGUAUUGAUUGGCCAUACCAAAAAUUCUGAAAAUUUUAUGGAUAGAAGAUAUAUGAGUCUAUUUUCAGGUAAAAUUAACGGCACUUGAUUUGGAGUUUCGUAGCUCCAAUUAUAAAUGAUUUAGUGACUAUUGUUCAGGAAGACAGCUUGCAGUGAGAUUAUGAUUAUGUGGUAAACAUUGACAAAAAAUUGUUAAUGAGUUAUUGAUUUCUUAUAAGCUUACUAUGAUCUGUAGGUGUGGUUGGCCGAAUAUUGUAAGGGGUUAAUACGUAGUUCGUAUUUGAAUAGUUAGAUUAAUGUGUUAGUAAUCCAAUUGUAGGUAGUUCGUGUGUGGAUUUCGUCAGCAUAUCGUCGCAAACAGGUGUGUAACUAACACCCUCUUUCUUAGUCUGGAUCGGCAAAAGUCGAAAAGCCGAAAUGUCGAAAACCGGUAUUUUGUAGAUUUGUGAGUGUUCGAAUGCUUGUGAGGUAAAUCGAUUAAUGUUUUUGAUAAGCUGCAAAAUUUGGACUGCAAAGUGCAUGAUUUAUGUGCCCUCGAUAUUUUUGGGCUUAAUGGGCCAAAAUUAGAAUGAUGGGCCAACGGACCCAAUUCGGUAAGAACCCUCAGUACGUGAUUCUGUUAGUAAGUGAAAAGUAGGAAUAUGCAUGAAAAACCCUAAAAUAGAUAAAUUACUGAAAUACCUUUAAAAGUAGAAAAUUUACAGUUUUACCCCUAGUAGAUAAAUUACUGAAAUACCUCUAGGGUUAAAUUGACCUAAAUGCAUGUUUGACUGUUGUUAUUUACUGCAUGCCAUGUUGUUAUUAUCUGAUGCAUGAGAUUGGGAUAUUGACGGAGGAAGUACUGAAAGUGGCUUGUCCACGUACUGGAGGCUUUGCCUCAAUUUACUGUUAACUAAGCAGCAAGGCUGCAACUGUGGAGUGUUGGGCUGGGUGGGUUGAGCUAUUCCCCACAUGGAGUGUAUGGCUGGUACGGGUGGAGUGUAGUGGUUGGUGGGUUGAGUAGUCUCCCCAAAUGGGCUUGCAUAUGUUUACUGAUGUUGCAUGUAUUUUGAAAUGGGCCUAUGGGCCAUACUGUUAUCUGAAUAAGGGGCUAAGGCCCAGUUUAUAGUAAUCUGAAAAGGGCUCUGGCCCAGUACCACUGUUACCUAAAUGGGCUUCGGCCCAAUGGGCUUGAGCUGACUUGGGCUUUGAAUGUGUUUUCCUUACACACUGAGUUUCCCCAAACUCACCCUUUCUUUAACCUUACAGGUGAGCCUUGAUGUGGGUAACUUGGAGCCGGAGGGGAUUCAGAGUGGCCAUGGUGAACACUUUUGGGUUUGAAAAAGAGACUGGUUUUCUUAAGUUAUUUUUAAUUACUAUUUAAUAUUUGGGUUGUAAUAAGGCCA
rnacentral:lncRNA from 1 species